GCCCGGCCAUCUCACUUGCUCGUUUCCAGGAACUGGACACAGCCCCUGGGCAGGAUGGUCCCUGUCCCCGCCUGCUCUCCGCUCUUAAGUGGCUACUUAAUCUGUCGGUUCUCUGGCCGGGAGUUCGUUACAUCACGGAGCCAGCGAGCCCUGGAGGAGACACUGCCGCCAGGGAGGCAGAGUGGGGGGGGCAGGCACCGCCAGGCUGUGCCAGGCAGAGCCGGAGCCUGGCCCCUGCCUAGGCCUUGAGGAACAGGCCAUCCCAGCACACCCAGGGGACCAGGAACUGGGGCCCACACGUCCCCCGGAGGGGCUGCAGGAGCCUUCGAGGUCUGGUUCUCUGUUGGAGGUACAGGAGCCUAGGGCACUGAGACCCGGACUGCCUGCCACCCGGGCUGCAGUGCUGGCUUCCUGGGGAGGCCCGUGGUAUGCCUGGGAACCCGCUUUGAGGACCGCUCCACAGAGUGGGGACGUUUCCAAGGUCACGUGUGUGUGUGCCCAAGAGGACAUGGUCUCCCCGAGUCUUGGGCUCAGCCCUGGGCCUUUGCCUCUGAUGCUGCCCUGCUGGAGUCCCCAGGCCUGUACUCUGCCACCAGCCACAGCACCCUGGACCCCUCGCCUGACACCCAUUGUGUUUCUGGGGCGCCCGGCUCGCUGUCCACUGCAGGGCAGGACUGGACUCCCAGCGCGGUCCCUGCCUCAUCACCACAGCUGCCUGGGCACUCCCCCCAAUCUGCGUCCACUGGCCCUGCCUCUGGAUUGAACCAGAUUUGCUCGACAGAGCAGGUCACAGAUGGCUGAGCUCCAAGCACCACACUGAAUCCGCCCCAGUGACAGGACACGACGUGUUGCUGCACCUGUGCUGCCCCGGGUCCCCAUCCUGUCUGUCUCUUGGCACCAUUCCCUGGACCUCUCAGCGCUCAUAGGUUGAACAAUACGGUGCAGCCACUGUUUGUACGACACUGACACUGAACCAUCCAGGGCAAAGAACAGUCCCAGCUGUGGACGGUGACCGUGUAGGGAGCCGGGCCUGAAGUGCUCACCCCCGGCUGUGAUAACAUUUUCAG
rnacentral:lncRNA from 1 species